CCCCGGAAAGGUACCACCGGGUGGCGAAGGCGUCUCACUAGAACGGAUCUGACGGCAAGGAACGAGAGCUAGGGGAGGAACCGGAUUAGAUACCCGGGUAGUCCUAGCCGUAAACGAUGCCCACUUGGUGUCGGCCACCGUGCGACCGUUGGCAGUGCCGGAGGGAAGGCGUUAAGCGAGCCACCUGGGAAGUACGGCCGCAAGGCUGAAACUUAAAGGAAUUGGCGGGGGAGCACCCACCGGGUGGAGCUUGCGGUUUUUUGGUUCUUGCCGGAAUCUUACCGGGAGC
rnacentral:rRNA from 1 species